rnacentral:rRNA from 1 species
GAUGAACGCUAGCGGCAGGCUUAAUACAUGCAAGUCGUGGGGCAGCGCGGGUAGCAAUACCUGGCGGCGACCGGCAAACGGGUGCGGAACACGUACGCAACCUUCCUUUAAGCGGGGAAUAGCCCAGGGAAACUUGGAUUAAUACCCCAUAAGACAGUGGAGUGGCAUCACUCAGCUGUUAAAGCUCCGGCACUUAAAGAUGGGCGUGCGGCUGAUUAGGUAGUUGGCGGGGUAACGGCCCACCAAGCCGACGAUCAGUAACUGGUGUGAGAGCACGACCAGUCACACGGGCACUGAGACACGGGCCCGACUCCUACGGGAGGCAGCAGUAAGGAAUAUUGGUCAAUGGACGCAAGUCUGAACCAGCCAUGCCGCGUGGAGGAUGAAGGCCCUCUGGGUUGUAAACUUCUUUUAUUGGGGAAGAAACCUGACUUUUCUAAGGCAGUU